rnacentral:lncRNA from 1 species
AUGUAAGUGGUAUCCUAUCAUGUUUAUAUUUCUGUUCAAGUAUCCGCCACCAGUUGUAUACUUCACCUUGUAACAGAUACGCUAUGUAGCGAAUUUUCUCAUCAUCGUGGCACUCUUGCACAGCAAACACCUUCUCCAUCUCCAUAAUCCAAUUGUCAGCUUCUAGUGGCUCGAUGGUCCCUUUGAAGGCUGGAGGAGCCAGCUUCUUAAACUCCAUGAUGUUG